GAUGAGUAUUUGGAUGAGCAAAACCUAAAAUGUAUGGAUCCAAAGUUUGAUGUGUUGAAGUGGUGGAGUCAACAUUGUAGCAAGUUUCCGGUUUUGAGUAAAAUGGCGAAAGACAUUUUUGGCAUCCCGAUCACUACCGUGGCUUCCGAAUCAGCCUUUAGUGCUGGGGGCGUAUAUUGGAUGACUACCGGAGCUCUCUUUCAAAGGAUAUGGUGGAACUUCUUGUUUGCGGAAGUGAUUGGUUAAAGGCGAGCUCAAAAACAACCUUAAAAACAUUGAAACAAGCUGCAAGAGAUGAAGAAAAAUUGGAAAUUGAUGUGUUGACUCCAGAUGGGUCUGAUAAUAAAUGAAAGGUUAUAUGUUGAUUUGAAGUUGAAUUUUGUGGAUGAAGAUGAACAAGCUUAAAGAAGAAGUUUAUGACUUUUGAACUAAAUGACAAUUUGUAUUCGCAC